rnacentral:rRNA from 1 species
UAGGGAAUUUUUCACAUGAGCGAAAGCUUGAUGGAGCAAUGCCGCGUGAACGAUGAAGGUCUUUAAGAUUGUAAAGUUCUUUUAUUUGGGAAGAAUGACUUUAGCAGGUAAUGGCUAGAGUUUGACUGUACCAUUUUGAAUAAGUGACGACUAACUAUGUGCCAGCAGUCGCGGUAAUACAUAGGUCGCAAGCGUUAUCCGGAUUUAUUGGGCGUAAAGCAAGCGCAGGCGGAUUGAAAAGUCUGGUGUUAAAGGCAGCUGCUUAACAGUUGUAUGCAUUGGAAACUAUUAAUCUAGAGUGUGGUAGGGAGUUUUGGAAUUUCAUGUGGAGCGGUGAAAUGCGUAGAUAUAUGAAGGAACACCAGUGGCGAAGGCGAAAACUUAGGCCAUUACUGACGCUUAGGCUUGAAAGUGUGGGGAGCAAAUAGGAUUAGAUACCCUAGUAGUCCACACCGUAAACGAUAGAUACUAGCUGUCGGGGCGAUCCCCUCGGUAGUGAAGUUAACACAUUAAGUAUCUCGCCUGGGUAGUACAUUCGCAAGAAUG